rnacentral:misc_RNA from 1 species
UCACCUAUGAAAGAUGAAGAUAUAUGUGAAAUUUAGAUCAACAAGCAUAUAUUAUAUACAUCUGAAUUGGACAGUUUUGACACAUUUUCUUAUCCUGUCUGUAAGAAAAUCAUGUUAAACUUACAGUGAAAUUGUUUAAACCUCUCCUUUAUGGGUAACUUCAUCUUAACAAAUUCAGAAAAGAAAAAGAAUUCAAAAACAUCACUGUUGCCUCUCAAAGCAGCAGAGUCAUUGAAGUGGAGUAAAAACCUAUAAUAACAAAAUGAAUCCAAUGCACUGUUUUCAAGAAGCUGUCACACAUACGCUCCUCUUAUCACUACCGUGACUACUUCCGUACUAUAUUGGCCAGGACUAUGCUAUAAUAAAACAGAAGUUGUUUACAAGCAAUUCUGUGAUAGUGCUUGUAAAACCAUACCAUACUACCAUGACUUCUCCAUAAGAACUCCACAGCCCCUGAAACACUAUUGGGUUGCAAGAGACACUCGCGAAUAUGCAGUAGACUGGGACACCAGACAGAAGCAAAAGGCAUUCAAACACUCUAAUCGGUUUAUAACCAUUUGCUUUCAGACUCCAAAAUUUUCUAUCCCGUGAAACUUGGUGCAACUUGGUACGACUCUCUGAGGUUUGUGGCGUUUGAGGCAGUUUAUGGCAUAAACGGCAAGGUUUGAAAUCCAUGGAAGCUUCGUCCUUGAUGAGAGACUCUCUUUGAGACUAUGAGAUUGCAGAGGGGUUGAUAAAAUUAGGAUUAUAAUGAUAGAAUCAG